UUGCGGCCAUAUCAUAUUGAAACAUCAGUUCUCAUACAAUCACUGAAGUUAAGCAAUGUCAAGCCUGGUAAGUACCUAAAUGGCUGACUGCUUGGGAAUAUCAGCUGCU